rnacentral:misc_RNA from 1 species
GAUGAAGAACGUAGCGAAAUGCGAUACGUAAUGUGAAUUGCAGAUUUCAGUGAAUCAUCGAAUCUUUGAACGCACAUUGCGCCCCUUGGUAUUCCAUGGGGCAUGCCUGUUCGAGCGUCAUUUGUACCUUCAAGCUUUGCUUGGUGUUGGGUGUUUGUCCCGAGGGACUCGCCUUAAAGUAAUUGGCAGCCAGUGUUUGGUUUUGAAGCGCAGCACAAGUCGCGAUUCAAGGCUACACGCCCGCUUCCACAAGCCUUUUUUCACUUUUGACCUCGGAUCAGGUAGGGAUACCCGCUGAACUUAAGCAUAUCAAUAAGCGGAGGA